rnacentral:rRNA from 1 species
GACGAACGCUGGCGGCGUGCUUAACACAUGCAAGUCGAGCGGAAAGGUCAUGCUUUUGUGGGGUGCUCGAGUGGCGAACGGGUGAGUAACACGUGAGUAACCUGCACUUGUCUGUGGGAUAACUUCAGGAAACUGGGGCUAAUAUCGGGUAUGAGCUCCUGCAGCAUAGGGGGGGUUGGAAAGAUCCGGCGGUGGGGGCUGGACUCGAGGCUUAUCCGCUGGUUUGGGGAGUAGGGGCUUCCGAAGCCUGUGACGGGUACGCGGCCUGCGAGCGUGAACGGCCACCUUGGGACUGCGAUACGGCGCAGACUCCUACGGGCGGCAGCAGGCGGGAAUAUUACACAAUGGGCGGAAGCCAGAUGCAGCAACCCCGCGUGCGUGAUGACGGCCUUCGAGUUGUAAACAGCUUUCGCCUGUGACGAAGCGUUAGUGACGGUAAUGGGUAAAGAAGCACCGGCUAACUACGUG